ACACGACUACAUUAGAUACCCGGUAGUCCCAGCCCUAAACGAUGCGCGUUAGGUGUAUCGGUGACCACGAGUCACCGAGGUGCCGAAGGGAAACCGUGAAACGUGCCGCCUGGGAAGUACGGUCGCAAGGCUGAAACUUAAAGGAAUUGGCGGGGAGCACCACAAGAGGUGGAGGCUGCGGUUCAAUUGGACUCAACGCCGGAAAACUCAUCGGGAGCGACAGCAGUAUGAUUGCCAGGUUGAUGACCUUGCUUGACAAGCUG
rnacentral:rRNA from 1 species